UACGGAAGGGGGCUAGCGUUGCUCGGAAUCACUGGGCGUAAAGGGUGCGUAGGCGGGUCUUUAAGGUCAGGGGUGAAAUCCUGGAGCUCAACUCCAGAACUGCCUUUGAUACUGAGGAUCUUGAGUUCGGGAGAGGUGAGUGGAACUGCGAGUGUAGAGGUGAAAUUCGUAGAUAUUCGCAAGAACACCAGUGGCGAAGGCGGCUCACUGGCCCGAUACUGACGCUGAGGCACGAAAGCGUGGGGAGCAAACAGG
rnacentral:rRNA from 1 species